UACGAAGGGGGCGAGCGUUGUUCGGAAUUACUGGGCGUAAAGGGCGCGCAGGCGGCCUUAGAAGUCAGAUGUGAAAGCCCCGGGCUCAACCUGGGAAUGGCAUUUGAUACUCUGAGGCUGGAGUACGGGAGAGGAGAGUGGAAUUCCCAGUGUAGAGGUGAAAUUCGUAGAUAUGGGAAGAACACCGGUGGCGAAGGCGGCUCUCUGGACCGUAACUGACGCUGAGGCGCGAAAGCGUGGGGAGCAAACAGG
rnacentral:rRNA from 1 species